UGCACCUACGGGGCGCAGCAGUGGGGAAUAUUGCACAAUGGGGAAACCCUGAUGCAGCGACGCCGCGUGAGUGAAGAAGUAUUUCGGUAUGUAAAGCUCUAUCAGCAGGGAAGAUAAUGGCGGUACCUGACUAAGAAGCCCCGGCUAACUACGUGCCCGCAGCCGCGGUAAUACGUAGGGGGCAAGCGUUAUCCGGAUUUACUGGGUGUAAAGGGGGCGUAGGUGGCAGGGCCAGUCAGAUGUGAAACCCCGGGGCCCAACCCC
rnacentral:rRNA from 1 species